CCCGGGCGACCGGCGCACGGGUGAGCAACACGUAUGCAACCUGGCCGCCACAGGGGGAUAACCCGCGGAAACGCGGCCUAAUACCCCGUGACGCCACCGGAGGGCAUCCUCCGGUGGCCAAAGGAGCGAUCCGGUGGCGGAUGGGCAUGCGGCGCAUUAGCUAGGACGGCGGGGUGACGGCCCACCGUGGCGACGAUGCGUAGGGGUUCUGAGAGGAAGGCCCCCCACACUGGGACUGAGACACGGCCCAGACUCCUACGGGAGGCAGCAG
rnacentral:rRNA from 1 species